UAGCCUUGACAUUGAUAGAAUUUUGUAGAGAUACAGAAGUGCCUCUUUGAGGAGCUUGAAAAC
rnacentral:rRNA from 1 species